GAAUGCAAUGAUGAUUAUUUUUUCCCUAUUGGUUUGAUUGCCAGAAUGAUGGCAUCUUGUAUUAGCUCUAUCUGAGCAUUC
rnacentral:snoRNA from 2 species